GGGGAAUAUUGCACAAUGGGCGAAAGCCUGAUGCAGCAACGCCGCGUGAGUGAUGAGGGCCUUCGGGUUGUAAAGCUCUGUCUUUUGGGACGAUAAUGACGGUACCAAAGGAGGAAGCCACGGCUAACUACGUGCCAGCAGCCGCGGUAAUACGUAGGUGGCAAGCGUUGUCCGGAAUUACCGGGCGUAAAGAAUGCGUAGGUGGAUAUGCAAGUCAGAUGUGAAAUACCCGGGCUCAACUUGGGUGCUGCAUUUGAAACUAUAUAUCUAGAGUGAAGUAGAGGCAGGCGGAAUUCCUAGUGUAGCGGUGAAAUGCGUAGAUAUUAGGAGGAACACCAGUGGCGAAGGCGGCCUGCUGGGCUUUAACUGACGCUGAGGCACGAAAGCAUGGGGAGCAAACA
rnacentral:rRNA from 1 species